GUGGGCCACUAAGACUUAGUGGGGUUACAAAUGGCCACCACCACCCCAUUUCUCUCUCUCAUUUUCUCAUUCGGACAGCAAGAAGAAGGAAGAAAGAAGAAGAAGAAGAAGAAGAGAAGAGAAAAGAAGAAGAAAAGGGAAGAGAAGGAGAUCAGGAGAGAUAGAUCUUCUAAGGCUGUUGUUGGAAAAUUCAGCAAAAAGGAAUAUCAAAUAACUGUGAGGGAGCCUAUUCAGCACCAGGGAGAGAGAUAGCUGUGUCAGAUUGUCAACGUUUCGGACCGGAGGUAGGAAGUACCACUGGAUUUUGGCUCGCAGCUGCCCAUUGCCGAAGGGGGAGAGAUGACCCCACAUGUUCGUGCAUUGCUUGCCAGUCACUGGAGGGGAUUCAUACCUUCCAAUCCCAGACAGUAAGUGACUCGACCAUAUAACAAAAUUGUCGGAAGACCAUUAACACAGCCUAGGGCAACUACCAGUGAGAGACCAAUUGGUGGACAACAAGCAGUCAAGGCAGGUUGCUGUCAUGACCACCGGAAAUAUGCCACCGGAAACAACCUAGGCCUGUUUCCGCUGGCUAUUUCCGCUGACCAAUCAGGCUUCUGGUUGGGUUCCGAUGCCCGUGGGUCCCACCACCAGCAUUGUGGACAUCCCCUGAUGAUUCUAAAUCCUUCCCCACACCUUCCUCAUGACAUGAGCACCUUAUGGACCAAAGUUGUCGGGUCCACAUGCCCCGGAAGUUGGAUUAACCCAUUCGGACCGGACUAGGACCAAACCAAACAGGCCUUAAGGCCUGUUUUACCAUAUAAGUGGAAAUGAGGAUUCAUUCCUCAUUUCCCACUUGUACACAAACAUGGGAGAGGAGAAGGAGGAGAGAAAGG